rnacentral:rRNA from 1 species
UCCAGGCAAAUCCGGAUAAUCAAGGCUGAGGUGUGAUGACGAGGCACUACGGUGCUGAAGUAACAAAUGCCCUGCUUCCAGGAAAAGCCUCUAAGCAUCAGGUAACAUUAAAUCGUACCCCAAACCGACACAGGUGGUCAGGUAGAGAAUACCAAGGCGCUUGAGAGAACUCGGGUGAAGGAACUAGGCAAAAUGGUGCCGUAACUUCGGGAGAAGGCACGCUGGUGUGUAGGUGAAGCCCCUGCGGGUGGAGCUGAGACCAGUCGAAGAUACCAGCUGGCUGCAACUGUUUAUUAAAAACACAGCACUGUGCAAACACGAAAGUGGACGUAUACGGUGUGACGCCUGCCCGGUGCCGGAAGGUUAAUUGAUGGGGUUAUCCGUAAGGAGAAGCUCUUGAUCGAAGCCCCGGUAAACGGCGGCCGUAACUAUAACGGUCCUAAGGUAGCGAAAUUCCUUGUCGGGUAAGUUCCGACCUGCACGAAUGGCGUAAUGAUGGCCAGGCUGUCUCCACCCGAGACUCAGUGAAAUUGAACUCGCUGUGAAGAUGCAGUGUACCCGCGGCAAGACGGAAAGACCCCGUGAACCUUUACUAUAGCUUGACACUGAACAUUGAGCCUUGAUGUGUAGGAUAGGUGGGAGGCUUUGAAGCGUGGACGCCAGUCUGCGUGGAGCCAACCUUGAAAUACCACCCUUUAAUGUUUGAUGUUCUAACGUUGGCCCCUGACCGGGGUUGCGGACAGUGUCUGGUGGGUAGUUUGACUGGGGCGGUCUCCUCCCAAAGCGUAACGGAGGAGCACGAAGGUUAGCUAAUCCUGGUCGGACAUCAGGAGGUUAGUGCAAUGGCAUAAGCUAGCUUGACUGCGAGCGUGACGGCGCGAGCAGGUGCGAAAGCAGGUCAUAGUGAUCCGGUGGUUCUGAAUGGAAGGGCCAUCGCUCAACGGAUAAAAGGUACUCCGGGGAUAACAGGCUGAUACCGCCCAAGAGUUCAUAUCGACGGCGGUGUUUGGCACCUCGAUGUCGGCUCAUCACAUCCUGGGGCUGAAGUAGGUCCCAAGGGUAUGGCUGUUCGCCAUUUAAAGUGGUACGCGAGCUGGGUUUAGAACGUCGUGAGACAGUUCGGUCCCUAUCUGCCGUGGGCGCUGGAGAAUUGAGGGGGGCUGCUCCUAGUACGAGAGGACCGGAGUGGACGCAUCACUGGUGUUCGGGUUGUCAUGCCAAUGGCACUGCCCGGUAGCUAAAUGCGGAAGAGAUAAGUGCUGAAAGCAUCUAAGCACGAAACUUGCCCCGAGAUGAGUUCUCCCUGAGACUAUAAGUCUCCUGAAGGAACGUUGAAGACGACGACGUUGAUAGGCCGGGUGUGUAAGCGCAGCGAUGCGUUGAGCUAACCGGUACUAAUGAACCGUGAGGCUUAACCUUACAACGCCGAAG